rnacentral:lncRNA from 1 species
GAAAAGGUUAGUAGCAGGGGAAGAGUUAACAAGUAAGAUGUGCUUUUGCUAAGAGGGGGUGAUUUGCAAGAGCUGGACUAAAUUGGUCUAACUAGGACACUUGAAGGCUUGUGAAUCAGUUCACACGAUCAGUGUGAAAAGCGGGUAUGAAGACCCAGAUGCUGGUGUGUACGUGUGCAUAUAAGCCCCAACAGCUAGAAAUCAAGCCUUUCUGGCUUCCGAUUGUUGGAGAAGUGGAAACAGUUAAUGGAGUAUGCAAUGAGUUCUGGCGGUCAGAAGUCCAAAAUGGGUCUUACACGACUAAAAUCCAGAUGUCGACAGGGAGGAAGAACUGAGGAUCCUACAUCAUGUUAGGGAGCAGCAAGAGCACUGUAGUAAGACAUAACCCUCCUUUGCCUCUCUAUGUCCUCUGCCCCAUGCUGCUUAUGUCCUUAUUGAAGUUAAGAGUCCGGCUGUCAUUGAGAACCUCUGAUACUGCACCAUUUGAUGAAGGGCUAUGAAAAAUUCCCCCGAGAACAGCAAUGCACACUGAUCCUACCAGCUCAUUCACUAGAAUACACUUUCUAAAGCCAAUACUAAUGGCUGUAGGCAAAUAGAGCAGGACGGUCAAGAUACCUCUACCCACUUCAUUCUACGCAUAGACUGUCUGGUUCUCUGAGGUCACAGCAGUAUAAUCUUAAGGUGACCAUUAAGAUCUGAUUGACACAUUUUCAGGAUUUAAAGUAAAAUUAAAAGAACGUGGAAGGCAGCUGUUUGUGGCACUGUAACAGAUAGCCAUGUUUACGAAAACAAAUUCAAGUUGAGCAAUGAUCUGGCAGAUUUUGUUUGCCAGGGAGGACCAUUGAGCCAAUGGGACCCACAAUUUUCCCACUUCAAGAGAUUUUUUUUUUCUCAAUGACAUUAUAUAACUGAUUCAGAUAUCAUUUUUCCUUUACAUACCCAGACACAACCCUAGAGAUGCCGAGCCCCCAGAUAUUUCACUUUUUAUCAGAUAUUUGGCACAAAGAAACACUUCUGCAGUCUAUAGUUUAAACUAUACAACUGUCUGGGAAAACUUUGUGAUUGUAGGUGCUAAUUUCAACUGUCCUGUAACUCAUUCCUCGGUAUUACCAUCUAUAAAAUGGAUGUAGCAAUAAUAAAUUAAGUCAUGAAAUUGUUUAUGGGGAAUAACCACUGAUGGGAUUAUGUGGCACUUUACAUACGUAAAAUCCUAAGUAGUCCAAGCAAUCAAAAGUAACAUUUUCCAGUGACAUCUCCAUAAAAGCCACUUUCUUCUGAACAAAUACAAACUUUCCAGAGAUGUCUAAGCCACAGAACUGCACAGGCAGAUGUGAAAUGUAAGCCCUAUAGAGAAACAGAGAAACGAAACAAAAUCUGCAUUUGAACAUUGGAGUUUUAUCACAAUUGCAAUACAUCUAACAGUCUUCUUUGUUUUAGUUACUAUACUUUUUCUUACCAUCAUGAAGAAAAGAUAUCACAGAAAAUGAUGUUAAAGACAGGCCUAACAUACAUUUUCUGAGCUUUCUGGUGAAAGAUUAUGUUUUCAAAAAACUUCUCCAAGGGAAACUCUUUGAAGUGUUUUUACUGCCAUUUGAUCAGUUAAAAUUUUGUUAUUUGCAUUAUUUUGAAAUGUCUUUGUACUCUAAAGGCUGGUAAAAGAAUGCAUAAUUGUGGAAAACAAUUUAAUAAAUAAGAGAAAACUAACAACAACAAUAUAAAA